rnacentral:rRNA from 1 species
CAGUCGCCACGGGAAUACGAAGGGUGCAAGCGUUACUCGGAAUUACUGGGCGUAAAGGGUGCGUAGGUGGUUUUUUAAGUCCGUUGUGAAAUCCCUGGGCUCAACCUGGGAAUGGCAGUGGAUACUGGAGAGCUAGAGUGCGGUAGAGGGUAGUGGAAUUCCCGGUGUAGCAGUGAAAUGCGUAGAGAUCGGGAGGAACACCAGUGGCGAAGGCGGCUACCUGGACCAGCACUGACACUGAAGCACGAAAGCGUGGGGAGCAAACAGGAUUAGAUACCCCGGUAGUCCCUGUCUCUUAUAC